rnacentral:rRNA from 1 species
AUCGGAACGUGCCCAGUCGUGGGGAUAACGUAGCGAAAGUUACGCUAAUACCGCAUACGAUCUAAGGAUGAAAGCGGGGGAUCGCAAGACCUCGCGCGAUUGGAGCGGCCGAUAUCAGAUUAGGUAGUUGGUGGGUAAAGGCUCACCAAGCCAACGAUCUGUAGCUGGUCUGAGAGGACGACCAGCCACACUGGAACUGAGACACGGUCCAGACUCCUACGGGAGGCAGCAGUGGGGAAUUUUUGGACAAUGGACGCAAGUCUGAUCCAGCCAUUCCGCGUGCAGGAUGAAGGCCCUCGGGUUGUAAACUGCUUUUGUACGGAACGAAAAGGUUUCUCUUAAUACGAGGAGCUCAUGACGGUACCGUAAGAAUAAGCACCGGCUAACUACGUG